rnacentral:rRNA from 1 species
ACGGGUGAGUAACACGUGGGUAACCUGCCCUGUACUCUGGGAUAAGCCUUGGAAACGAGGUCUAAUACCGGAUACGACCUUCGAUCGCAUGAUUGAGGGUGGAAAGUUCCGGCGGUAUGGGAUGGACCCGCGGCCUAUCAGCUUGUUGGUGGGGUAAUGGCCUACCAAGGCGACGACGGGUAGCCGGCCUGAGAGGGUGACCGGCCACACUGGGACUGAGACACGGCCCAGACUCCUACGGGAGGCAGCAGUGGGGAAUAUUGCACAAUGGGCGAAAGCCUGAUGCAGCGACGCCGCGUGAGGGAUGACGGCCUUCGGGUUGUAAACCUCUUUCAGCAGGGACGAAGCGCAAGUGACGGUACCUGCAGAAGAAGCACCGGCUAACUACGUGCCAGCAGCCGCGGUAAUACGUAGGGUGCGAGCGUUGUCCGGAAUUAUUGGGCGUAAAGAGCUCGUAGGCGGUUUGUCGCGUCGGCCGUGAAAACUUGGGGCUUAACUCCAAGCUUGCGGUCGAUACGGGCAGACUUGAGUUCGGCAGGGGAGACUGGAAUUCCUGGUGUAGCGGUGAAAUGCGCAGA